rfam:Schistosoma haematobium scaffold6294_1, whole genome shotgun sequence.
AUCCAGCUGACUAAUCCAAAAUAGGACGAAACCCGAAUCCUGGAU